CGAGCUGCCAGUGAGGGAGAUGGAGAGUUUCAGAACUGGUUCCCACUAGCCCCUGACCAGUUGGGCUGAGGCUAACUGGAAACCCAGUUUCAGGACAGUUAUAGAGAUAAGGCGUGACUGGACAAAUGAUUCACUGUUCACAGGAAAUUGUCAUUGCUGUAUUUCAGGACUCUUAAGAUGCCAUAUAGUUUAAGAUAUAUCAUUUGUUUAUGUGCUAUUAACAAUAACAAAAAUAACCCAAC